AGUAAGCUUGGCUCUGACUUAUUAGUAUAGCAAGAAUUAAAGAAUACACAUGGUUUUUAUUGAGAUAGGCGAGGUAAAAGAGACUAGUAAUUAAGUUGACAACUUAAUAAUUCUAUUUUCUUUUAAAGUAUUAUAGAUUUAAAAAAUGCUUUGAAAAGUCCCGCUAACACCAGUGUUGAAGGUUAAGUUAAAGAGUGAAAACUUGAAUUAAUUUAGUUACAUUAAAUCUGGUCAACUUGGUGCCAGCAUCCGCGGUUAGACCAAGAGAUUAAGUUAUAUAAAUAGGUAAAAAAGACAGUUAUACUUAAAUAAUUAUAUUUAGUUUAUAAACUUAUUUAUAUAAAGGUGAAAUUUGAAUAUAAAUAGUAAAAAUAAGCAUAACUAACUUAGGUAGAAGCUGUGAUAGUUCUGAGGGAAACUGGGAUUAGAUACCCCACUAUUCUUAACUGUAAAUUCAAUUAGAUUUACCAGAGUACUAUGAAUCAAAUAAAAUUUAAAACUUAAAGAGCUUGGCGGUGUUUUAGACCUAUCAGGGGAACCUGUCUCAUAAUCGACAGUCCACGUUAGACCUAACCUCCUUUAGUAAUCAGCCUGUAUACCGUCGUCGCCAGGUAACUUUUAAAAAAUUAGAAGUCAGCUAUUACAAUCUUGUAAAUUAAGACGUCAGAUCAAGGUGCAGCUAAUAAAGAGGAAGAGAUGGGUUACAAUUAUGUAUUUAUAACUACGAAAAAUUACAUGAAAAAUAAUUAGAAGGAGGACUUGAAAGUAAAGUAUAUUACAUAAGCAGUUUGAAUAAGGCUCUGAAACGUGCACACAUCGCCCGUCGCUCUCGUUGAAAAAUGAGAUAAGUCGUAACAUAGCAGGGGUAAUGGAAAUUGUCCCUAGAUGG
rnacentral:ncRNA from 1 species